UACGUAGGGUGCGAGCGUUUGUCCGGAAUUAUUGGGCGUAAAGAGCUCGUAGGCGGUUUGUCGCGUCUGCUGUGAAAACUCGGGGCUUAACCCCGAGCCUGCAGUGGAUACGGGCAGACUAGAGGUAGGUAGGGGAGAAUGGAAUUCCCGGUGUAGCGGUGAAAUGCGCAGAUAUCGGGAGGAACACCGGUGGCGAAGGCGGUUCUCUGGGCCUUACCUGACGCUGAGGAGCGAAAGCGUGGGGGAGCGAACAGG
rnacentral:rRNA from 1 species